AUUGAACGCUGGCGGCAUGCCUUACACAUGCAAGUCGAACGGCAGCACGGGAGCAAUCCUGGUGGCGAGUGGCGAACGGGUGAGUAAUAUAUCGGAACGUGCCCGGUCGUGGGGAUAACGUAGCGAAAGCUACGCUAAUACCGCAUACGAUCUACGGAUGAAAGCGGGGGAUCGCAAGACCUCGCGCGAUUGGAGCGGCCGAUAUCAGAUUAGGUAGUUGGUGAGGUAAAGGCUCACCAAGCCGACGAUCUGUAGCUGGUCUGAGAGGACGACCAGCCACACUGGGACUGAGACACGGCCAGACUCCUACGGAGGCAGCAGUGGGGAAUUUUGGACAAUGGGCGCAAGCCUGAUCCAGCAAUGCCGCGUGCAGGAUGAAGG
rnacentral:rRNA from 1 species